UACCAUAUUCUAACCAGAAAGUACCCAGGCCUAAUCCUGUUUAAGCUACUGUCAUUGGAGGUGUAAGGCCCUGAUGGUUUAUACAUACGAGCAACCAUGUAUAAAGCCUGUAACAAUCUACAUGAAGGCGUUUUACUGACCAAUUUUCAUCGUCUUAUAUAAAGGAAAUUGUACUCUAGGGGCAUAUGUAUUUAUUAAAUUCCAUUUCCCUCACUUGCUUAUUAAAAGCCUGUCCUUUUAAAACAAUUCCCUGUAUAAAAGUAGAAACUAAGGAAGCGUACUUUUAAACUGUAGACUUUUCUGUUUUUUAGCAUUUAGAGAAAUAAUAAGUCUUGAAAUUACAAGAACUCCCAUAACAUUAGAACAUACAAAUAUAAAUAUUAGCAUAAUUUGAGGUCAUAGUAGAUAUAUUAUUUAAUUUUAUUAGGUUUUUCUGACCUCUCAAGACCCACCAAACUUUUAUAUGGGAGCUCUUGCCGCCUUUCUGCACAAAUAGUAUUGUAGAAAAUUCAGACUAAUCUAGCCACAGUGUAUGGGAAACACUUCCUUUUAACCACUAUUAUCAUUCAGGGUCCAGCUAGGAGACAGAAAACACACAGUAAUCUGAACAACUAAAGUUUCUUAUAGAUAAUUAUCAAUUAGUAGCUAGGGCUUAAUUACUAAGCGGUAGAGAUAACUUCUAAGAAUACAGGAAUAGCAAAGAGUGCAGUCACUGACUUCAUGGCUAAGUCUAAGUACCCAGGGAAGGGCCGAAUCUGGAAGCAGCCCCUGCCUCCAUGCUUAGAUUCAGACCUGUUGGAGAGGGCAUGACUGCAGCCCACUGGAUAGAGGAGAAACUCCCUGAAGUGGGACGGACAGACAAACAGGAAACUUCUUGCUGGGUUGCCUAUGAAACUUAACUGAGAAAUCAGCUAGAACACAGGCAGAAGACUGUAGGAAACCAUUCACUGGGGCGCCUGCCAGACUUUCUGGGUUGUUGGCUGGAGUGCCAGUCGAACUGAACUUGCUAGGAAGCUGCCUGCAGGGUUGCUGCUGGAUUGCUGGGUAACUGAGCACUAGCAGUGUCCAGUGUCCCAAAUGCUGGUGGACACUGCAGGAGCCAGAAGGGAGAAAAGUGAGGUCAUUGAACUCUUAAGUGCGAGAUGAAACAAGUCUUCCGGGGUUCCAAGUAGGAGGACAUAGGAGGAAGAUGUGAUAUAUGAACCAGGAAGCAGGCCCUCUCCAGACACUGGAUCUGCAGGCACCUUGAUCUUGGACUUCUCAGCCUCCAGGAUGGUGAGAAAUGGAUAUUGUUGUUUAAGUGAUCUACUCUGUGGUAUUUUUGUCAUAGCAACCCAAACAAAGUAAGACAGAGAUAUUUUUUAGAGAUGUGGUCUCUCUGUGUUUCCCAGGCUGGUGUUGAAUCAAACUUCUGACCUUAAACGAUGCUUUCACCUCAGCCUCUUGAGUAGCUGGGAUUGUAGGUGCA